UCCAUGGUGGGAGCAGAGGUGGGAUUCCAGAACCUGUGCAGGGGCUGCUUUGCUUUGCAGGCAAUGAAGGGCUUGGGCUGCUGCACUGCCCUUGUUUGCUUUGGGAUCACUGUUAUUUUGGGGGGCAGUGCAGGAGGGAAGAGAGAAAGUGUGGGCUUCUCUCCCCUUUGGGUGGGAUUUUCCCUAGCAUGUAGGGGUUGGGCCUUCCUCAGAGCCUUGACAGAGAUAAAGAGUUUUUUUUCUUGUUUCACCUUGCCCUUAAUCUCUUUUCAACAGUUUGUUGUUUGUUUUUCUAGAGGAAGCGUUCUAUGUAAGGUCCAGUCGGGAUUGGGAAGUGCUUGGGAGCAGCUGCAGCGUGGAUGGGCCGUGCCCUUGGAGAAGGCUGAGGACAUCGUUUGGGACCAGCUUUUCUCCCAGCGGAGGAUGGCGUGAGCCGGGCUCUGCGGGUGCUGAGGCUGCUCUGGGCCCUGCCAGGGCUCUGCUGGAGCUCAGCACCGGGCCGCAAUCAGCAAAAGGAGAAAUGGGGUGCCCUGCAGCACAGACUUGCUUGAGCAUUUCAGCAACACAGUUCAAGUUUGCAGAGUGUACACCUCCAAGGGAAAACAUGGCACCACCCAAAAAAUAAACUUGUUCAAUAACUUCUGAAA